rnacentral:rRNA from 1 species
GACGAACGCUGGCGGCGUGCUUAACACAUGCAAGUCGAACGGUGAAGCGCCUUCCUUUUUGGUGGGUGUGGAUGAGUGGCGAACGGGUGAGUAACACGUGAGUAACCUGCCCCCUUCUUCUGGAUAACCGCAUGAAAGUGUGGCUAAUACGGGAUAUUCUGUGUCUGUCGCAUGAUGGGUCUGGGAAAGAUAUUGUUUCGGUGGGGGAUGGGCUCGCGGCCUAUCAGCUUGUUGGUGGGGUGAUGGCCUACCAAGGCGGUGACGGGUAGCCGGCCUGAGAGGGUGGACGGUCACAAUGGGACUGAGACACGGCCCAGACUCCUACGGGAGGCAGCAGUGGGGAAUAUUGCACAAUGGGCGCAAGCCUGAUGCAGCGACGCCGCGUGAGGGAUGGAGGCCUGCGGGUUGUGAACCUCUUUCGCCAGUGAAGCAGGCCUGCCUCGUUUGUGGGUGGGUUGACGGUAGCUGGAUAAGAAGCGCCGGCUAACUACGUG